UUUGAUUUUCCUGAUUUUUUUGUGUUUCAUUUUUUUAACCUGACUAUGUAGCAAGAAUAUUAGAAAUAAAAUUUAGGAGAGGAUAGACAAUCCUUGGGUGUAUGGAGACAGGGAAUGGCUCCCGGCAGCUGAAUAAAUAGCAUGCAUGUAUCUGGCUUUCUGGGCCCUACCCAAGCCUUUUUACAACUACCAGGUGUUUUAUAGACACAUUUUUCUAUGAAGUAGUCAAACUGUAAACAGCAUGAAUCCUGAAUGAUAAUCGUGUCUUAAUAAUAAUAAAAGAAAGAAAAUAAGAGACAAGCAUCACGAUUUUCCCAAUUGAAAUGUCUUUUGGUUUUGCCUUUGGUGGCACAGGGUCAAGGGUGUGGGGGCAUUUGUGUGGCAUUCACUAUUCUUUCAACCUGUCCUGAUUAUGGAACCCUUUAAGGUCCGUCCACUUGGAACCACGGUGCUCUGAGAGGACGCUGAACUCACAGCAGCCCACACACAAUUCCAGUGAUACUACUGCAAUGUUUUGUACACAGAAUCUUAGGUUUGUUGGGUAAAUGUAGCAUCAUAUUUUGUUUUAGCAAUUUGUGAACAGUCUUGCUUCUCUUCACACUUAUAAGCUCAUCAGGCUAAGGAUUAAAUCGUAUGCACCCAAAUACCUCUUAGUAUACAAACGUCUGCACUCAGUAGCGUUUCUGGCUGAGCAGGUGGAAGAAGGGCCACGUUCGCCAAUGUCAUGAGGGGCCAGCAUCUUUAACCUUCACGCCCACAUCACCAGCCUUGCCUUCUUCACAACAGAAAUGUUGUCCCACUUCCUUUCCAGGUCUCUCAGAUUCAUGGUACGAGUUGGAAAGAGACCUGAGAGAUUAUUUAGGCUAAACGUUUCAUUUUAUAAAUGACAAAAUUAGGGUUGAGCAAAAUGUGGUGAUUUUGUCUGUGCAAAGCCAAGAAAAAAAAUUAGAGCCUCUUAAAAGUCAUUUUUCCCCUGAAAUAAAGUAUCUUCAUUUCACUGUUAAAUAUAUGUCCUCAUGUAGUUGCUAUAAUCAACCACUUCUCAAGAAAACUCUAAAAGCUGUAUUUCCCAUAUGACACAUUUCAGAAUAUUACAUAAGAAGCUCUCACCAAGACACCAAGGUAAAAUAUAUAUGACAAGCCAAAGACAGGUGCCAUAAAAAAAUAAGAAAUCUUCAAAGGGGAAAGAAAUUCCAAAAGUGGCAACAUGACACCACUCAUUCUCUGCCUACUUUCGAGGUAAGACGAUGUUGAAGUUCUGAGGGGGCUCAGUAAAUAACACCUCUCUUCCCCCUCCAGGUCCUGCACAAAUUGAAAACAUAAAAGGUAGCAGAUGGACUCAAAUGCCACCUUCAUGACUGAGGUGCCAAGCUGGAGGGCAGGAGUUGCCCUCUGGUCCUGGUUUAGGCUGACCUUCUGAACGGGGCCUGAGGGCAGGACCACACGGGCAGGGAUCAGAAAGGAGCUGGAGGAGAGCUCAGAAGGGAGGGCGGGCCCAGCUCUCUUGGCGGCCAAGGAAAAAGCCUGGCAUGUUAGAGCUGGUGCAGGACUCUCCAGGGUGACCGAGCCACCCAGAAGAGGGAAAAGCCAUUCUCCAUAACAAAAAGUCAGGACCGGCUGAAAGCCCCUCCCAGCCCUCCACCCUCCUUCGGCGGGGCUUCUUUCUGAGCUUUGCCCCAUCCCUGCCCCGUGCUGGUGACUGGUGUUUGGCUCCCUCCUAGAGAAAGAGAUGGGCCUGGGUUGGUUGAGAGAGAAAGAGAGAGAAAGGGAGAGACAGAGAGAAGGCUUAGCUCUUGUCCAACAGGGCCACCUAGAGGGACUCUCAGGCUUGAGCGGGAGAAGCAGAGUUUUGAGGCAGAGCUGAUCAAGGGAACCUCAACAAACAACCCCAGCCAUGGAGGCGGCGGUGUCUUUGAAGACCCCAUGAGAGCAUCAAACAAGGGAGAGAGCCUGGAACAAAUCAUGGUAGUAAAAUGGCGGCAGAGAGCUAGUAAUGUGUCUGCAAUUGGUGGGUUCUUGGUCGCACUGACUUCAAGAAUGAAGCCGCGGACCCUCACGGUGGUGUCUUUGGUGGCUGUUCACCCUUCCACAGUAAACAUGCUUGGGAAGCAACUUUGCCAAAAGCCUUCGGACAGUCCAGCGUCAACACCGCAAGCCAAGUGGUACCCAAUAGGACAGCUUAGGAUGAGAGCACUCUUUAAAAACAAACAACUGGCUGGGCGCGGUGGCUCACGCCUGUAGUCCCAGCACUUUGGGAGGCCAAGGCGGGUGGAUCGCCCGAGAUCAGGAGUUCCAGACCAGCCUGGAACAACAUAUAGUGAAACCCCGUCUCUACUAAAAAAUACAAAAAUUAGCUGGGCUUGGUGGCGCAUGCCUGUAGUCCCAGCUACUUGGGACACUGAGGCAGGAGAAUCGCUUGAACCCGGGAGGUGGAGGUUGCAGUAAGCCAAGAUAGUGCCACUCUACUCCAGCCUGGGCAACAGAGCGAGAUUCCGUCUCUCAAAAAAAAAAAAAAAAAAAAAAAAAACAACAACAACAAUAAAACCCUUUUAGAUACAAAAGUCCAAAUUUUUAGAAGUAUACCUAUUUCAAUUGUGACUCAAAACCAACAAGCCUUUUCAUGGCUUAAAACCAAGAAGCCUUUUAUCACUUAACCAUGGGCUCAAGAAGUGCCUCCAAGAGAGGGUGCAAAAGCACACUGUCCGCCUUGGCAUCCAAAUUGCUCCGAAUAUCCUAAGAACGGCCAGACCUUUUUAAAAACAAGGCAAUGAAGUUGAGACAAUUAAGACAAACUCCCCUAAGAGCUGGCACAGUGGGACAAAGAGAUACUUUGGUUCUGGACUCCUAGCCAGUUGGCUAGCCGCCUGAAGCAAGCCUGACAACGUGCGACUUCUGCUGGCAAAGACCACAGAGAAUAUCCUCACUGGUUCCCGAGCUAAGCUCUCAAGACAUAAAACAAGAUGAAGGCCAAAUCUUAUGAUUUUCCUCCUUAUGACAAACUACACAAAAGACAGAGACAAGGAAAACAAGGACCAUUCCUGGGAGGCUGUGAUCUAUAACCAAUGGGUACUCAGAACCAAAUUCACAAGAGUCACAAUUUGAAAAAUUAAUUCUUAUAAAUGUUUUCUCCUACCAAUCUGAAUUGGAAAGGAAAAGACGACGAACAAUGUUUACCUCCCUUUCUCGAAUGGCCACUACAGACAGAGAUCUAAGAGCUGACUGGAAGGAGGAGAAAAAUCUGCGCCUCUUUCUCUCAAGGGAUACUUUGUCUCUGGGGUACUUUCUGACCCAGUGGACCCCUGGCAGAAGUAAGCGUGGACUGUGGCUGCAGGACCACGCAGAGUCAACACGAACCGAAGCCAGGCCUUGGCCACGGCAGCUCUGGGGUCCAACCACUUGAUCAAUGCAGGAAAUGCUUUGAUGGCAGAAUUCUUCCAUGGCCAGCUUCUCAUAUUCUCUGGGACAGACACAAACCAAGAAAAAUGAGUGUGGCGCAGAAUCUGAUGUGUCCUUCCUUACCCCGUGCUGGUAGCAAAAAGUAUGUCUUGAACUUUUCUUUGUUACACACAGUCUGGGUAAUAACAGACUGAAGGAAAACUAAAGAAGCUUGGGAGGCUAAGUUCAAUGACAAAUGAAGAACUAAGGCAGAGAAAAAAGAGAAUUGAGAAAGUGUCUGGGUGUCUGGAGAGGUUGGGGGAAUAGAGAGGGAGGAGAUAUAAUUGGCCAGAUAACUUGAGAGUGGGAGAGGAGUGCAAACAUUAUUUUUGAGGCGCUUUGUUGGAUAUUUAAAAUGCACUCCUACCUUUGGCAUUUUCUCAAAAGGCAAGAAAGAUUUGUUUUCAAUUCUAUUUUUCUGCUGGACUGAACCAGUGCCAAGACUGGACCAUGUAGGAUCCUGGGUUUAUUUCAGUUACAUAAGCAAACGUUGCUGUGAUUUGGAAUAGUCAAAGUCAUGAAUGUUUCUCAACUUCCAUUUUGUCAGCUGCUUGAGUUUCUAUUCUGAGAGGUGCUAACUGUGAACAUUGUUAUUCACUUGUGUUCCCUAAAUCACUUUUAAUUAGUUUUAAUUUGAACCAAGAAUGUUCUACUGUUGAAACUAUGUCAAGAAUGAUCAAAAAUGAAAUUAAUAAAGAAUUCGCGUCAAAAAAAAUUUGCACUAAUAUUACAGUAUUUUAUAAUGUCUAUCUCAGCAGAGUCACAGAUAAUUUAGAAUUUUUAAUUUUGUUUUUAAGUGAUUUUCCUCAAAGCUAUAAUAGCCUUGGUAAAGAGUUUAGUUAAACAUUAUUUUUCACCUCUCACGCAUUUUGUGUAAUGAAAUUUUUCUAUCAUCUUCCAGUGGAAUUAAUUGCAUUGGUGCAAAAAAUGCAAUCAAAUCGAUGACUGAAUUUAGCCUUUGAAACCUCACGUCUAGCUGGGAUAGUUACUAUAUUCAUUACAUACUGAAAAAUGAUAAGCAGUAAGCUUUUCUGCUAAAAAACUGCCAAAGAUAAGUUUUUCAAGGCUCUCAAAAUAUCCUAAAGCUGACAAUACAAGAAAUGUUAAAAUAUUGUUGGAAUUUUUAACGGAAUCUUCCUUCUCUUCUUUUCCUGUUUAAGACAAUAGUAGUUAGUUGUCCACUAAUCGUUAAUACACGAUUUUCUAACAAAGACUUGCAUAUCCUUUUGGCUAAAAAGUGGCCAAAUAUCAGAGAGCUAGAAGUUUGGGAGACAGCCUUUAGUCUUUUCCAAAGCAUGUAAGCCCUUUUGAAUCAUUUUGGGUAAAUGGCGAAGAUUAAACAGAAUUCAUAAAGGGUUUCUGAUACAUAAGUGGAAUGUGCCUGUGAGGACACUACACAUGACAAUAAUCUAAGCAUGCUCUCUUUUAGUCCCAAAACGUGUAGAGUAAUGUCACAUGAAAUUUACAGGAGGCCAUUGACUUGGACUGAGCUCCUGCACCAGGCCUAACAGACCAAACCAAAAUGGAGUCACUCAUGCUGAAGUUCACACCACCAAGCCAAAACUGAGUUGUUUAUCCGAUCUUCCAAGAAAUCAAGAAAGACAGGGAGAUAACAGCCCAAUCCCCAAACAGGCCAGUUUUUGCUGGCAUGAUAGGAAGGCCCCUCUGCUUCAAACUUUCCAAAGAAAGUAACUUGGAAACAACCAAUCUGCUUUUUGUUCUCCGUUUCUGCUUUCCUCAACCAUUUUCUGACCAUAAAACCAACAUCCUUUGCUCGGCUCAUGGGAACAUUCAUUCUAUUUUGUAGAAUGAGGUGUUGCCCGAUAUUCUAGAUUUGCAAAUAAAAGCCAAUUAAGAUCUUUAAAUUAAAUCUGUUGUAACUUUGUCUUUUGACACUAAUAAAUGCACGAACAGGUUUCUUUAGAGAAAGCCCGUGAUAUGCAGGGUAUGUUUGACAAGUGCUGUGGUCAAAUGUGAUACUGUUUACAUUCUCAUUUUCAUAAUUUUCUUAAGUACUAUGUAAUUUGGUCUUGGGAAUGCUUCGCUAAUUACGGGUGAGGAGGAUGGGCCUUGUAUGUGACAGAAUGAUUUAGUGUUCUGUAGUUCAGUGGAAAGAGUGUAGAUGUGUUGAAUAUUUAUGACGUUUUACCUUCUCUCUUUGUUACAGAGGCCUUACAACAAAUUAAAACAUGUGUGUCAGCUCCCUAAUUAUCUAGCUAGACUUUUAAAGAUUGGCUAGUUAAGGCUGAAUUUUAUUCAAGCACUACUUCAUCUGUCAUACUAUUUUAAGUACAUUAGCCUUGUUAGCCUAUUAUAUGGCCAUGAUCAGUACUGUUUAAAUUGCCAACUUCUACAAGUCCCUUCUGUGUGCUCUGGCUCAAUCAAUGCAUUAGUGGUACUAGCUUAGUUUUGUCACAGUUCUGGGCACAUUGGCAGUCCCCGGGUGGGAGGCCUGGAGCUCCUGAGUAAACAUAGUGCAUCUGCCUGGAGCUUCAAUUUUACUUGAGGAUUUGGAAAAAUAUAAAUUAAUCGAUUUAACCAUUUAUUUAAUGUGCUCCAAUUCUUUAUUUAAUUGGCUGCAAAGCAAACAAAAUUAUGCAUUAGCUAUGUUAUGACUAAAACCCAAAUGUUGUUGAAUACUUUCAG
rnacentral:lncRNA from 10 species